AGGGGCAUCACAGAUUAGUUUACAAUUGGGUGGCGACCGGCGCACGGGUGCGUAACGCGUAUGCAACCUACCUUGUACUGGGGUAUAGCCCGGAGAAAUUCGGAUUAAUCCCCCAUAGUAUUAAUUACUCGCAUGAGUUAUUAAUUAAAGGUUACGGUACAAGAUGGGCAUGCGUCCCUAUUAGCUAGAUGGUGGGGUAACGGCUCACCAUGGCUACGAUAGGUAGGGGUUCUGAGAGGAUGAUCCCCCACACUGGGUACUGAGACACGGACCAGACUCC
rnacentral:rRNA from 1 species